GACGAGCCACACGAACGUUAUUCGGAAUUACUGGGCGUAAAGCGUGCGUAGGCGGUUUGUUAAGACAGGUGUGAAAUCCCCGGGCUUAACCUGGGAACUGCGCUUGUUACUGGCAGACUUGAGUGUGGCAGAGGGGGGGUGGAAUUCCAGGUGUAGCAGUGAAAUGCGUAGAUAUCUGGAGAACACCGAUGGCGAAGGCAGCCCCCUGGGCUAACACUGACGCUGAUGCACGAAAGCGUGGGGAGCGAAACAGG
rnacentral:rRNA from 1 species